AAAAAAUGUGUAAACUAUGUGGUUUAAAAUCUGGCUGGUCAGAUGGGAGUAAGAGAAUUUUCAUAGCUAAAUUCUUUUUGGAUAAAGAAAGAUUCAGGACCCUCACCCACGACUUUAUUGCAACAUCUGAAAAACGAAUACCAAAGACUGUCUAAACCGAAACUACAACGCAAAACAAAACUAUUAAUAAAAUAUUAAUUAUGUUAA